GACGAACCGUCCAAACGUUAUUCGGAAUCACUGGGCUUACAGAGUUCGUAGGCGGUCUGGAAAGUUGGGUGUGAAAUCCCUCGGCCUAACCGAGGAACUGCGCUUGAAACUACCAGACUCGAGGGGGAUAGAGGAAAGCGGAACUGAUGGUGGAGCGGUGAAAUGCGUUGAUAUCAUCAGGAACACCGGUGGCGAAGGCGGCUUUCUGGGUCUUACCUGACGCUGAGGAACGAAAGCCAGGGGAGCGAACGGG
rnacentral:rRNA from 2 species